rnacentral:rRNA from 1 species
AGUGAACGUUGGCGGCGUGGAUUAGGCAUGCAAGUCGAGCGAGAACCGUAGCAAUACGGGGACAGCGGCGAAAGGGACAGUAAUGUGUAGGUACCUACCUCCGGGUUCGGGAUAGCUGCGGGAGACUGCAGGUAAUACCGAAUAACGUCUCCGGACAAGAGGUGUGAUUCCAGCUGGAGAGGGGCCUGCAUCCUAUUAGCUUGUUGGCGGGGUAACGGCCCACCAAGGCGACGAUGGGUAGCGGGUGUGAGAGCACGACCCGCGUCAUUGGGACUGAGACACUGCCAGACACCUACGGGUGGCUGCAGUCGUGAAUCUUCGGCAAUGGGCGCAAGCCUGACCGAGCGACGCCGCGUGCGGGAUGAAGGCCUUCGGGUUGUAAACCGCUGUCGUAGAGGAGGAAAUGCAGGGGGGUUCUCCCCUCUGUUUGACCUAUUCUAGGAGGAAGUACGGGCUAAGUUCGUGCCAGCCGCCGCGGUAA